UAUUGCACAAUGGGGGAAACCCUGAUGUAGCAACGCCGCGUGAGUGAAGAAGUAUUUCGGUAUGUAAAGCUCUAUCAGCAGGGAAGAAAAUGACGGUACCUGAUUAAGAAGUCCCGGCUAACUACGUGCCAUCAGCCGCGGUAAUACGUAGGGGGCAAGCGUUAUCCGGAUGUACUGGGUGGAAAGGGAGCGUAGACGGCAGCACAAGUCUGGAGUGAAAUGCCGGGGCUUAACCCCGGAACUGCUUUGGAAACUGUGCAGCUAGAGUGCAGGAGAGGUAAGUGGAAUUCCUAGUGUAGCGGUGAGAUGCGUAGAUAUUAGGAGGAACACCAGUGGCGAAGGCGGCUUACUGGACUGUAACUGACGUUGAGGCUCGAAAGCGUGGGGAGCAAACAG
rnacentral:rRNA from 1 species